rnacentral:lncRNA from 1 species
GGGGUUCAACAUGUUAGCGGGAUCCCAACCCUCCCUCUAACCUGGGACAGUGGUAUAACAGUACAACAUAAGAACGAACUAUAAAAAUCAGUUGAAAAGGGCGUAACUCAUCAGAUGGACAAAAAUACAAGUGGAAGUGGCCGAGUACUCGUACAUCCCGACAACAAAAAGACACUAGGAACAGAUCUGAGAGUACUCUCAGUUAUCUGACAGCUCGUUCUCAGCCAC